rnacentral:rRNA from 1 species
UACGAAGGGGGCUAGCGUUGUUCGGAAUCACUGGGCGUAAAGGGCGCGUAGGCGGCUGUUCAAGUCGGGGGUGAAAUCCCGUGGCUCAACCACGGAAUGGCCUUCGAUACUGGACGGCUCGAGACCGGAAGAGGUGAGUGGAACUGCGAGUGUAAGAGGUGAAAUUCGUAGAUAUUCGCAAGAACACCAGUGGCGAAAGGCGGCCUCACUGGUCCGGGUUCUGACGCUGAGGCUGGCGAAAAGCGGU